rnacentral:ncRNA from 1 species
ACCUUAUACAGAUAUAGUGACGCAAGACAGUGGCGUAUCUCCCUGUAAGGUGGUGUUAAAAUAGAAGUAUAAACGACAGGUCUUAUUGUGUAGCAAUUUCGUUGAAAUAGGAUGAGUUUAUAUGGAAGAGGUUAACCGUAAGACCUUGAAUUGAAAAAUUCUAAAAUUGACCUAGCGAUACGGAAAUAGUUCUUAAUUUUCGUAUUACUAGUUACGGUAUC